ensembl:lncRNA LINC01234 long intergenic non-protein coding RNA 1234
CUCUCGAAAUUCAGCAACUGCUAACAGCGAGGAGGGGUUUUGAAAGGUAAAGGCCAUUAGCUUGGAGGCAGAAGACAGACCUCCCUGACUGCUGAAUUCCUGCCGGCCUGAAAUUGGAGCAUUCCAAGCUCCUCAGAUGAGUCAUAAGCCACCAAGAUUGUGAGCCUCUGGAAACUUCAUCAUGAAAUGUUGGGGACCUGCCUCACCAGGUUGAUGUAAGGACCUCGUGGGAUGAAGCCAGCUCAGUGACCAUUCCAGAGAGGACACUCGACACAUGCUCCGGGCAGCUGCCACCAAGAUGGCCCGACUGAGCCAAGGACAUCGGAAACGCUGAAGAACGUACCCUGGAUGAGCUCAGAGGCUGCUGGCUUUAAAGGUCUCAGCCAGAAAGCAAGCCUCCCUGCAUGGCUUCAUCUCUCAAACACGAUUCACUGCACCUGAAGAAGGAAAGCCAAACGCCACAGUGUCCCUGCCCCUGUCUCUCAACAGGCUUGUGUCCGUGACCCCUGCAGGAGGGGCAUGGCGUGCUUCCUUCCUUCCACACCAUCCCCCUUCCAGGCAAAUAAUCCAGCUCUAGCUUGCUUUGCGGACUUGCCAGAUCACCCUUCCCAUCACAGUUUCCCAAUCUUUCUUCUCUUCCUUGCAAAGGCGUGUAUUAAGGGAGAUGGCAAGUCAUUCAUUCGAUAUAAGCUAAUUGAGCACCUACUAUGUGUUGGCUGUGGGGGAUGCAGCAGCGCAUAAGACGAUAGGUCCCAGAGCUUAAUUGGGGGUGGAAGGUGACGCACCAUAAACAAGUAAACACACAGCUGAUGUUGGGGUCGGGGGGGUGCAGCUGAUAAUGGGAUUCACCCUCCAGAGGCAGAGCACUUAAUUAACUUCUGGGACAAGAGGAGGGGAAGGGAAAAUGAGGCUCUUAAGGGGACAGGCCAAAGGCUCUCACCCCAUGAUCAGCCAGGAUUCAGCCAAGGACAUAAAAUCUCAGGUUCAAUAAAUAUUAACUGACAACCUAGUCUGUGCACAGAGCUGUGCUAGACACUAGAGAUACAGAAGUGAACAAAACAGACAACACCCUUGCCCUCCUGGAGCUGACAUUCUUGUGCAGGAGAGGGACAGAUGCUACAUGGGCACAUAAAUACGUGAAGAUUAUUAAGAAUAGCUGCUGUUGUGCAGGAAGGCUUAGCCUUUGCCAGGAAACGUUAGAUACAAGAUGCGGCAGGGCGGAAAACAGGGAGGGUCCCUGCUUUCAGCCAGCAGCUAAACGGUCAAGUUCUAUGUACCGGCUGAGAAUAGGGCCUGGGGAUGAAAGCCAGAGAAGCCUCUCUCAGAAGCCAGGGAAGUGGCUGCUCACCCGCUUAAUCCCUCCAUGGCUCCCCAUUCCCUCCCAAUACAAUCCACACCGGAGACUACAAGGCCCCACCCACAUCCCAAAUAUCCUGUCAGAUGCACUUCCCAUCAGCCCUGUCUGACCUCUGGCCUUUCCCCCUGUUCUUACUGUCGGGGAGACUUUCUGUAACCCC